UCCCAACCGACUGGGGCCACAGCAACAUGGCCAAGGAGAUCCGGGAGGCUCCCAUCAACCCAGCCAGCAAGAGGAAGAGGGAUGAUGUGGCUCUGGAGCAGCAGGAGUCCUGGUUUGUGGUGCUGGAGAGGGAUUUGCCAGAGGAUGACCCUGAAGACAUCUCGUAUGAGCCCUCAGAGCUGGAGUCAGACAGUGAGGAGUACCAGACCCAAAAUGACACCGAC